rnacentral:rRNA from 1 species
AAGCUCGUAGUUGAAUUUCGGGAUUAGUACGUGGUCGUGCCUUAGGUACGUACUGGUGUUACUGGUUCCUACCUUCUGACGAACCAUCAUGUCAUUAAUUUGGUGUGGUGGGGAAUCAGGACAGUUACUUUGAAAAAACUUAGAGUGUUUAAAGCAGGCUCGCGCUUGAAUACAUUAGCAUGGAAUAAUGAAAUAGGACGUUGAUCCUAUUUUGUUGGUUUCUAGGAUUGACGUAAUGAUUAAUAGGGAUAGUUGGG